rnacentral:rRNA from 1 species
UACGUAGGGGGCAAGCGUUAUCCGGAUUUACUGGGUGUAAAGGGAGCGUAGACGGCAGGGCAAGUCUGGAGUGAAAGGCAGGGGCCCAACCCCUGGACUGCUCUGGAAACUGUCCGGCUGGAGUGCAGGAGAGGUAAGUGGAAUUCCUAGUGUAGCGGUGAAAUGCGUAGAUAUUAGGAGGAACACCAGUGGCGAAGGCGGCUCACUGGACUGUAACUGACGUUGGGGCUCGAAAGCGUGGGGAGCAAACAGG